AUAAAAGUUCCAGUCCAACUCAGCCAACACUCCUCAACACUGUCACAUGCUCCCCUAGAGGUCGCAGGUCUCUUCUGCUUCUUGAAGAAAUGUGGAAACUUGGCCCUGUCUCUGGAAACAUAACUGGGUCCCCAAAGGCCCUAUCUGUGGCACAUGACCCUGCUGCCCUGGCUAUUACCAAUCAGCCAAAAAAUUCUCCGCCAGAUUUUCUGAAUCGCAAAUAAGGAAACAGGCAGUUCCUCUCUCAUAGUGAAGCUGAAAGAUGUGUGAUGUGGGGGCUGCUGACAGCCACGUUUCCUACUUUGUGGAAGAAGCAGGAUUGAGAGAAUGAUGCCGGCAUGCAAAGAAGGAGAUGCAGAGACUGAUUCCAGGCUGUGUUUGAAUCCCUGAAGCCCAACUGCCCUCGAACACCCCAAAGCUAUGUGGG